rnacentral:tRNA from 1 species
GCCGGAGUGGUGGAAUUGGUAGACACAGGGGACUUAAAAUCCCCCGGCUAUAACAUAGCUGUACGGGUUCAAGUCCCGUCUCCGGUA